rnacentral:lncRNA from 1 species
GAGUGUAUCGCUGAUGAUGUCAGAGAAAGAGAGCUUCUUAUUGGAUGUGCAGUUGCGACCAUCGCUACAAAAACAAACUUUUUGUUGACCAGCGAUGUUGCAUCAGCGACCAGUUCGGAGGGGGUUUACGAAUUAGGGAGAAGAGCCGGUUGCAGCUGCGGCUAAAAAUCGCAAGGUGUGACCGCCGCUUAAGAAAAACACAAACAAUUGACUUAUUUGCAUACAAUGCAAACAGAAAUUCUAUAGUUAUAUUAAGAAAGAGAGAGAGAAGAAUUUUUCUAACUGAACAUAUGUUAAAAACUGAUUUAAAAA